GAUGAACGCUGGCGGCGUGCCUAAUACAUGCAAGUCGAGCGAACAGACGAGGAGCUUGCUCCUCUGACGUUAGCGGCGGACGGGUGAGUAACACGUGGAUAACCUACCUAUAAGACUGGGAUAACUUCGGGAAACCGGAGCUAAUACCGGAUAAUAUAUUGAACCGCAUGGUUCAAUAGUGAAAGACGGUUUUGCUGUCACUUAUAGAUGGAUCCGCGCCGCAUUAGCUAGUUGGUAAGGUAACGGCUUACCAAGGCAACGAUGCGUAGCCGACCUGAGAGGGUGAUCGGCCACCCGGGAAGUGAGACACGGUCCAGACUCCUACGGGAGGCAGCAGUAGGGAAUCUUCCGCAAUGGGCGAGAGCCUGACGGAGCAACACCGCGGGAGGGAUGAAGGUCUUCGGAUCGUAAAACUCUGUUAGUAGGAAGAAACAAAUGUGUAAGUAACUAUGCACGUCUUGACGGUACCUAAUCAAAAAGCCACGGCUAACUACGUG
rnacentral:rRNA from 1 species